ACGCUGAUAUCAAUCACCCAGGUCACCGAACGUAAAUUGGAGCAUGCGGAGUGCUUCUUGUUGUCAUCAGAAGCUUGCGUUUUCAGUCCAGGAGAAACGAAACUUAGAACUACAUUGAGAGGAUGUACACUAGAGACCCUGGGAUUUUAAUAAGCUUGAAAGAGCUGCCUGCAGCUAAAAGCUAAAGAUAGCUCUUGACGUUGCUCUGUCAGCGAAGAGAGCAAUGUUGGUGAAAUAAACGGAAUCAAUAUCGACAUAGCAGUCCUCAGAUACCAUUAACAUGGCGGAUCGAAGCUGUACUGAUGAUUAUUCAAGCGGGUUACUAUCCCAUCCUCGCUUUUGUUGGUGUUCCCGGAACUGGGGGAUAUUCCUUCAGGACGUCAACGUCAUCGCCCUCUGUAUCACAAACUGUCAAGAAGUGACCUGUGCCUGCUUUUGAGUGAUUGUGG